GAUGAAGAACGUAGCGAAAUGCGAUAAGUAAUGUGAAUUGCAGAUUUCAGUGAAUCAUCGAAUCUUUGAACGCACCUUGCGCCUUGUGGUAUUCCACAAGGCAUGCCCGUUUGAGUAUCAUUAAAUCAUCAACUCUAAAACCUUUGUGGUUUUUUUAGAGCUUGGUCUUGAGGGUUUUGCAGGCUUUUUUUUUUUCGAGUCUGCUCCCUUUAAAUGCAUUAGCGAGUCUUCCCUAUGCUGAACCGUCUCUUUGACGUGAUAAUUAUCUGCGUCGAAUUUUGGUUCUCGUUGGGCUUGCUUCUAAUCGUCUGUUAAAGACAAAACGGAUUUGGGUGCAUAUAUGCGCCUUUUUCCAAAACCUUUUUUGAUCUCAAAUCGGGUAGGACUACCCGCUGAACUUAAGCAUAUCAAUAAGCGGAGGA
rnacentral:misc_RNA from 1 species